UGGCUUCUGUAUUUGAUGAUGUGCAAGCUUCACUGUGGCAGGCACAUGUAAAAAACACGGCUCAGUAUAAUUUACGACGUAAACCUGCUGAUUUUAAUAUCGGAGACAUAGUUUUAAAACGAACUUAUAUUUUAAGCGAUAAAGACAAAUAUUUUAGCAAAAAAUUAGCGCCUAAAUUCAUUAAGUGUCGUAUAAUCGAAAAAAGUCUCCUCUUGUUUAUGUCUUAGAGGACAUGAAUGGGAAGAAUUUAGGGGUAUGGCAUAUUAAGGAUAUCAAGUUGGCCAGCCACCUUAGAUAAGCACAAGCCCUGUAGUUAAGACCUUGCUAUCGGUAUAAGUCAUAUGUGCAAUAUAUCACAGAUGCCUUUUGUAUGAAAGGACGCGUUGUCAGCUUUGAAAAGUUGUAUUUGCUUUUAUGAUAAGAUAAAAUGUGAAAGGUUAUUGUGUAAGAUGAUCGAAUGAAAGCGUAAUACUGAUUGCAACCUAAUCGGGUUUUCUUUUAGAAUAAAACCCUUUUCCUGGAGAGGGGGGUAUAUGUAACGUAAUACGUUACAUUCUUAAAAAAUAAACAUUUAAAACUACUAAAUUACCUAACUAAAAAUACUACACUACUAAUAAACUAUAUUACAUAUUAAAAUAUACAACAAUAAUGUCUUAAAACUACGUAUUUACAAGUAUAAAAUCAUCAUCACGCUGAUUGAUUUAAAUAUGUCGCGCCGCGGUAAACAUUCACUCCCAAUAAUGUUCACAUUCGCGAGUGCAUGAAUGAAUGCACGGGUCGAGGCGCUGUGUCAUUGCGCCCAUCACUCACUCGUCCAUUUUAUCUUUGGAGUUGAGUGGAACGCACGUCGUUAAUUAUCGAUCUCUGCUACGGAUCAGAUACCUAUCGAAAUUCGUAAUCGAAUUUAACUGCGUCCCUACGUGUUCCUCAACUUGUUAAAUUACUGUGGUGUUUUAAUUAUGCUUAAUAGUGUACCCCGAAUUGGGGUCCCAAGUCCAGAGUGACUUCUUUUGGCUUCCUGCUUGCCGCCCGCCUGCCGUAUUGCUUCUAGCCGCUUUCCCCGACUCAGCGCCACGCAGAUUCUAGCAGCGCUGAACUCAGCGCCGAUCAGAAAAACGGCGCCUACCACCUCGGCAUCGUCAGGGGAGUACUGUGGCUACAAUCGACUAGCGGAAUCCGAUCUUGACUAGUAUUUUUUACGAACCUCGACUUUUACCCAUCUUACCGGCUGAGCUUCAUGGGAAUAAAUAUUGUUUUACCGUU